AUGGCUACACCACCCGCGGCGGAGACGAUGCAGGCGAACUCGGGAUCGAAUAAUACCAGAUCGGCGAGGGAGAAACUUGAGGAAGCGCUGGGAAAGCUGGACAUAUCCGAGGAGGAGGCGACUCCUCUCGUCAUAGAUGACCGUCUGGAUGGUGCUCCGGUGAAGUGGUUGCUGGCUGGUAAGGUUCUGUACCGCAAUCAGUAUCAUAUACACACCAUUGGCAAUGCUUUGCGACCGGCUUGGGGAAACCCUAGAGGACUGCAGUUCUGCUCGACUGGAGCGAAUAUGUUUGUGGCUGAAUUUGAGUCCGAGCGAGACCGUGACAGAGUUUGGGCAGGAUCGCCUUGGCACAUCAACAAGAAUGCGGUCAUCUUGGCCGAGUUUGAAGAGUGCAUGCGCCCAGAUGAGGUCAAGUUCGAUCGCCUGCAGGUUUGGGCUAGGGUUCUUAAUUUACCCUAUAAUUUGAGAGAUGAUGCAUGGAGCCUCCCAAUAGCCAGGAUGAUAGAUAAAGAGGUUCAGAUUGCUAAGUUUGAUCACAACGGAGGCUACCUUCGAGAUAGAGUAUCGGUGGAGGUCAAUAAACCAAUGAGGAGAUGGGUGCUUAUUGAUUCGGCGAGGAGAAAGAAGGUGGAUUCUUAUGACAUACAAUAUGAACAAAUCCCAUACUUCUGUUUCUCUUGUGGGCGGCUGGGUCAUUCGGAUCUUGAUGAGAACAGGUAUCCAGCAGGUAGCGAAAAUUCCUCCAGGGGCCAGAAGUCUGACCAUAACAGCAAGCAAGAGACGAGGAAUUCUAGAACAAAAUCCAAGCAAGAUGCGGGGGAGGAGGUGGUCUCGCCCUUGAAGAACAAAGAGAACACUCGCUAUAAGAGAAAGGAGGGACCGACCGCAGUAUAUCAACCGAAGCAGUUGCUUCUUACGGCAACACAAACUCCAGAAAAUCUAGAUCCGAGUACAAGCACUGCAGGUGGAGAAGAUGAUGAGGAUCUUGUUCGGGAACCAAAGAAGAAGAGGCCUACGCCUGACAACUCGGCAGAGGCCGGUGACCGGUCCUGCCCAGCCCAAUGA
rnacentral:rRNA from 1 species